CUGGGACCUUGUCCUCUCACUCACCCUUCCGCGUGCUCGCGCUUCUGCGUGGGCUGGGGACCGGCGGGCCACAGCCCUGAUGCCAGCACCGUGUGGGACUCCAGAGGCAUAAAGGAAAAGCGGUGAUGAGAGGAAUGUGGACAGUAAAGACCGCGCUCAUGAGGACUCUGUUGGGAAUUGCACCGAUGGCCAUUCAUGUCGCACUUUGGCAAAGAACCUGUCUACAUUGUGUCCUGGUCCUGAGAUUCUGCGAAGCUGGAUUUAAAGGUGAUGGACUAACUAAUCUGGUGGAAGAAGUUUCAAGGCAGCACAGAAUUGAGGCAGUGGGAUGGGGCAUGGCAGCUUUCAGACAGAUUCACUGGGAUAACUGGGAGCAGAAGGCAGACAGGAAAGAUUCAGAAACCUUGCAGCUUGGCCAGAGAAGCACACGUAAAAUGGGGGCCAAGAAAGUGGUGUUGAAGAGAUUAUCACCAUUAAAGAGAAACCAAGUACUCUGCCCAGAGACCAUUCGAAGACACCCUGGGGGAAUGUCAAGAAUCCGCCAGAUCACACCCACGGCAAACUCAGGGAUGUACAAACAAAACCUCUCUGGGAGAGUCCUUGGGGACAGAGUGCCGCCACAGGGUGGCCUGCAGAGCUGCCUUCCGUGAUUCCCACCGAACGCCGCGGAUGUCAGACUUGGAGUUCCGCGACCCAGUGUUUUCCCAGCUGGGCUUUGGUCUUGAUUUGGUCCCAACCCUUCUUCCUCUGCCCCAAUUCCUCUCUUAGAACGAGAACACCUGCUCGGUGCCACUGGGUAUGGCACACAUAACCUGCUUUUGAUUUCUAGACUCACAGACGAGAGUUUGCCUGGAGUAUCUAGGGAGACUUUGAACUUGGACUCUGGGCAAGGCUGGGGCUGUUAGGACAGUGAGGAUUCCUGGUGACACACUGGAUGAAAGCAUUUUGCCUUGUGACAUGGAUAUGAGCUUUGAGGGCGGGAGUGAAUGUUCCAUUUGGAUGUGAGGUGUCCCCCCAACAUCCUGUGCCAAUGAAGGACUGUUCGGAGUGA